rnacentral:lncRNA from 1 species
UGCUAACAUUUGGCUAUUGUAAUAGUCUGGCCAAGACAGGACCUCUGGGGCCCCUUCCUUCCCCGGGAAUCUAUGAUUUCAGGGACCUUUUUUUUUUCUCCACCAGAAACAUGUAAGUAUUAGAACAGACCCUGCAAAAGGAACCUCUGCCUGGGAACUAAUGAUGCCCUUCAUUCCUAAUGCUAAUUGGCUCUCUCACUUCUGAGAUUGCCCCACUCCGGAGCAAACGAGAGAGUCUGUAAAUUCUUAGUCUGGGAGACUUUGGGGGAGUUCCCAUGAAGCGAGGGCCAUCCUGACUCUUACAUCUCUCUGGGUCCCUUAGCUUCAUCUUGUCUGCAGGAUGGUGUGUGUGCUGCUCCCCAGGGGCGUCUGGACAGAGGUUCUGGCUGUGACCCUGCUGGUGCUGAAUUCCCAGGUGGCUGCAGGCAGACAUGCCCCAAGGUUCAGGGAAUUGAUGCAGCCCCCUCCAAGAGCUGAGGGAUUGAGGCAGUUUGUCAAUAAGAAAUCAUGAAGCAGCUACUGUCUGCCGGGCACUGUGCUAAUGCUAAGGAUAGAAAGGAAGGCAAAGGCCAGUUCCUGUUCUUGAGGAGCUCACAGUCUAAUGGGGGAGACAACAGGCAAACAAUUCUGUAUGAACAAGAUAGAUAGAGGAGAAAUGGGACAUGAUCAAGAGAGGGAAGGCACUAACAUUAAGGGGGAUCAGGAAAGGCUUCCUGUAGAGGGUGGGAUUUGAACUGAUACUUGAAGUAAGCCAGGAAAGUGAGGAAGCAGAGGGGAGGAAGAAGAAAAUUCUAAGCCUGAGAGACAGCCAGAGAGUGCUUGGAGUGGGGAGAUGGAGAAAUUUAUGGAAGAACAAGAAGGCCCAUGUCAGUGGAUAGCAGAGGACUGGGGGCAUGAGAACAUGAAGUGUAAGAAGGCUGGAAGGGUAGGAGGGGACCAGUUGUGAAGGGCCUUGAAGGCCAAGCAGAGAAUUUUAUAAUUGAUCCUUGAAGUGACAGGAAGUCACUGGAGUUUAUUGAUUAGGGGGUGACAUGGCCAGAGCUGCCACCCCUGACUGAGUGUUUCUGUCCCAUUACAGAUUGUCCCAAAGUUUGCUAAGCUGCUGGAAAGGUUUAAAUUUGGUGUUAUUGGGGGAGCAAGGGGUAGACUUUCCUGGAUUAAUUUCCCAGGUAUGAUUUCAAGGCCAUGAGUGAGCUGGAGUGUUUGGGACCACCCCUGGUUUUCAUGAAUGACAUCAUGGUGGAGUAGGGGAAUGUGUCCCCAUCCAUUUCUCAGAGGCAGGUUAGGGGCAGGUACUGGUCUAGAGAGACCAAGGGGAUUGAUCCAGGCUGGCUUUUCUCCUGUCUUCAUGAUCCAUUGUUAAUGGACUGAAAAAAAGGUGUAGGCUCAAUUUUCCCUCAUCCCCACUCCCUGGUCAGGCCAGGCUUGCACUCCCUACUCCCCAUCUUUCAGUGUCAUCUCUGGUCUC